GGAGAGGUGCCUGAGCGGCUUAAAGGGAUGGUUUCGAAAACCAUUGUAGAGAAAUCUACCGUGAGUUCGAAUCUCACCCUCUCCG
rnacentral:tRNA from 1 species